CCCGUGUCAGAUGAACGCCUAGCGGUCAGACUUAACACAUGUCAAGUCGAGGGCAGCGCGAGGUAGCAAUACUUCUGCGCGACCGGCGAAAGGGUGAGUAACGCGUGAGCAACAUGCCCGGAUGAGGGGGAUAAACGAUGGAAACGUCGUCUAAUACCCCGUAACAGCGGAGAUCGCAUGAUCUUUGGUUGAAAGAUUCAUCGCAUCCGGAUUGGCUCGCGUGACAUUAGCUAGUCGGCGGGGUAACGGCCCACCGAGGCGACGAUGUCUAGGGGUUCUGAGAGGAAGGUCCCCCACACUGGAACUGAGACACGGUCCAGACUCCUACGGGAGGCAGCAGUGAGGAAUAUUGGACAAUGGGCGAAAGCCUGGACCAGCCAUGCCGCGUGAGGGAUAAGGCCCUAUGGGUCGUAAACUGCUUUUGUUGGGAGCAAUAAGGGGCACGUGUGGCUCGAUGAGAGUACCCAUCGAAUAAGCAUCGGCUAACUCCGUGCCAGCAGCCGCGGUAAUACGGAGGAUGCAAGCGUUAUCCGGAUUUAUUGGGUUUAAAGGGUGCGUAGGCGGAUGAGUAAGCGUGGGGUGAAAUGCCGGUGCUCAACCUCGGAACUGCCUCUGAAACUGGUUGUCUGGAAUGCCCAUGCCGUGGGAGGAAUGUGUGGUGUAGCGGUGAAAUGCAUAGAUAUCGCCCAGAACACCGAUUGCGAAGGCAUCUCACGAAUCCGAGACUGACGCUGAGGCACGAAAGCGUGGGGAUCAAACAGGAUUAGAUACCCUGGUAGUCCACGCAGUAAACGAUGAUGACUAACCGUUGGCGAUACACAGUCAGUGGCCAAGCGAAAGCGAUAAGUUAUCCACCUGGGGAGUACGACCGCAAGAAUGAAACUCAAAGGAAUUGACGGGGGCCCGCACAAGCGGAGGAACAUGUGGUUUAAUUCGAUGAUACGCGAGGAACCUUACCCGGGCUCGAACGGCUCGUGAAGAAACACAGAGAUUGUGGACGGCCUUUCGGGGACUGCAGCGAAGGGGCUGCAUUGGUUGUCGUCCAGCCUCGGGCCGUUGAAGGGUCGGCUUCAAGUGCCAUAAC
rnacentral:rRNA from 1 species